rnacentral:rRNA from 1 species
UACGAAGGGGACUAGCGUUGUUCGGAAUUACUGGGCGUAAAGCGCACGUAGGCGGAUUUGUAAGUCAGGGGUGAAAUCCCGGGGCUCAACCUCGGAACUGCCUUUGAUACUGCAAAUCUCGAGUCCGAUAGAGGUGGGUGGAAUUCCUAGUGUAGAGGUGAAAUUCGUAGAUAUUAGGAAGAACACCGGUGGCGAAGGCGGCCCACUGGAUCGGUACUGACGCUGAGAAGCGAAAGCAUGGGGAGCGAACAGG